rnacentral:rRNA from 1 species
GGGUCAGUAAUACAUAGACAACCUGCCCUUCCGAUUCGGCAUAACUCGGCGAAAGCCGUGCUAAUUCCGGAUACGAUGCAACGACCUCGGUCGUGGUAUGAAAGGCCGGGAGCCCUUCGGGGUCCGGUCGUCGGAGGAGGGGUCUAUGCCCCAUCAGCUAGUUGGUGAGGUAACGGCUCACCAAGGCAAUUACGGGUACGGGGCCUGAGAGGGUGUUCCCGGACACUGGGACUGAGACACUGCCCAGACUCCUACGGGAGGCAGCAGUCGAGAAUCAUUCGCAAUGGGCGCAAGCCUGACGAUGCGACGCCGCGUGUGGGAUGGAGGCCUUCGGGUUGUAAACCACUGUCACAGGGGAAGAAUAGCCGGCAUACAAAUAAUGUGCCGGCCUGACGUUACCCUGAGAGGAAGUCACGGCUAACUCCGUGCCAGCAGCCGCGGUAAUACGGAGGUGGCAAGCGUUGUUCGGAAUUACUGGGCGUAAAGGGUGUGUAGGCGGUUUGUCAUGUUCGGUGUGAAAUACCCCGGCUCAAUCGGGGAACUGCAUCGAAAACUGGCAGACUUGAGUGCAGGAGGGAAGAGCGGAAUUUCCGGUGGAGCGGUGAAAUGCGUAGAUAUCGGAAGGAACGCCAGUGGCGAAAGCGGCUCUUUGGCCUGUUACUGACGCUGAGGCACGAAAGCCAAGGGAGCAAACGGGAUUAGAUACCCCGGUAGUCUUGGCUGUAAACGAUGGGCACUACGUAGUGGGGCCUCUGACGGUCUCACUGCCGGAACUAACGCAUUAAGUGCCCCGCCUGGGGACUACGACCGCAAGGUUAAAACUCAAGGUAAUUGACGGGGGCUCACACAAGCGGUGGAGCAUGUUGCGUAAUCGAGAAACGCGAAGAACCUUACCAGGGCUUGACAUACACGGAUUAGGUUGUCGAAAGGCAACUGACGCCCUUGAGGUGGAACGUGAACAGGUGUUACAUGGCUGUCGUCAGCUCGUGCCGUGAGGUGUCGGGUUAAGUCCCACAACGAGCGAAACCCCUAUCUCUAGUUGCCAGCGAGUAAUGUUGGGGACUCUAGAGAGACUGCCAGUGUUAAACUGGAGGAAGGUGGGGAUGACGUCAAGUCAUCAUGGCCCUUAUGUCCUGGGCUGCAAACGUGCUACAAUGGUCGGUACAGUGGGAAGCAAUACCGCGAGGUGGAGCCAAUCCCCCUAAAGCCGACCUCAGUACGGAUUGAAGGCUGCAACUCGCCUUCAUGAAGCUGGAAUCGCUAGUAAUCGCGAAUCAGCAACGUCGCGGUGAAUGUGUUCCUGAGCCUUGUACACACCGCCCGUCAAGUCACCUGAAUGGAUCGAAGCCGAAGCCGCGAAGCCCUCGGGCCAGCGUCGAAGCUCCGGUUCGUGAGGGGGACUAAGUCGAAACAAGGUA